GAGCAGGCGGCCGCAAGGGUCUGUGGUGAAAGACCGAAGCUAAACUUCGGUGAGCCAUGGAAACCGGGCGGCUAGAGUGCGGAAGAGGAUCGUGGAAUUCCAUGUGUAGCGGUGAAAUGCGUAGAUAUAUGGAGGAACACCAGUGGCGAAGGCGACGGUCUGGGCCGCAACUGACGCUCAUUCCCGAAAGCGUGGGGAGCAAAUA
rnacentral:rRNA from 1 species